CCUGCUCCUCUUGCACCUUCCGCCUGCCUGGAAAGUUCCUGAGGCCCUGCCAGAAGCUGAGGCGAUGCUGGUGCCAUGCUUUCUGUGCAGCCUGCAGAACUG